rnacentral:rRNA from 1 species
UACGUAGGGGGCAAGCGUUGUCCGGAUUUAUUGGGCGUAAAGAGCGUGUAGGCGGCCAGACAGGUCAGCUGUGAAAACUCGAGGCUCAACCUCGAGACGUCGGUUGAAACCGUCUGGCUAGAGUCCGGAAGAGGAGAAUGGAAUUCCCGGUGUAGCGGUGAAAUGCGCAGAUAUCGGGAAGAACACCCGUGGCGAAGGCGGUUCUCUGGGACGGUACUGACGCUGAGACGCGAAAGCGUGGGGAGCGAACAGG